GGUCGGUUUCUGCUGUGAGACG
rnacentral:miRNA from 1 species